rnacentral:rRNA from 1 species
AGCGGCGGACGGGUGAGUAACGCGUGGGAAUAUGCCCUUCUCUAAGGAAUAGCCUCGGGAAACUGAGAGUAAUACCUUAUACGCCCUUCGGGGGAAAGAUUUAUCGGAGAAGGAUUAGCCCGCGUUAGAUUAGGUAGUUGGUGGGGUAAUGGCCUACCAAGCCUACGAUCUAUAGCUGGUUUGAGAGGAUGAUCAGCCACACUGGGACUGAGACACGGCCCAGACUCCUACGGGAGGCAGCAGUAGGGAAUCUUAGACAAUGGGGGAAACCCUGAUCUAGCCAUGCCGCGUGUGUGAUGAAGGCCUUAGGGUCGUAAAGCACUUUCGCCAGAGAUGAUAAUGACAGUAUCUGGUAAAGAAACCCCGGCUAACUCCGUGCCAGCAGCCGCGGUAAUACGGAGGGGGUUAGCGUUGUUCGGAAUUACUGGGCGUAAAGCGUACGUAGGCGGAUUAGUAAGUUAGAGGUGAAAUCCCAGGGCUCAACCCUGGAACUGCCUUUAAUACUGCUAGUCUUGAGUUCGAGAGAGGUAAGUGGAAUUCCAAGUGUAGAGGUGAAAUUCGUAGAUAUUUGGAGGAACACCAGUGGCGAAGGCGGCUCACUGGCUCGAUACUGACGCUGAGGUACGAAAGUGUGGGGAGCAAACAGGAUUAGAUACCCUGGUAGUCCACACCGA